CAGUAGUCAUAUGCUUGUCUCAGUGCACGCCUUUAUACGGUGAAACCGCGAAUGGCUCAUUAAAUCAGCUAUGGCUCAUUGGAUCAUACCCGUUAAAUGGAUAACUGUAAUAACUCUAGAGCUAAUACAUGCCACAAUGCCCUGACCCGUGGAAGCGGGAAUGGGUGCACUUAUUAGAUCAGAAGCCAACCGUGUCCGGCCUUGCAACAACAAGGCUGUGCAUGUUGACCACCUUCUGGUGACUCUGGAUAAUUGUUACAGAUCGCAGUCGGCUUGAAGUCGGCGACGGGUCCUUCAAAUGUCUGCCCUAUCAACUUUCGAUGGUAGGUGACCUGCCUACCAUGGUGAUAACGGGUAACGGGGAAUCAGGGUUCGAUUCCGGAGAGGGAGCCUGAGAAACGGCUACCACUUCCAAGGGAGGCAGCAGGCGCGCAAAUUACCCACUCCCGGUACGGGGAGGUGGUGACGAAAAAUACCGAUGCGGGACUCUCAACGAGGCUCCGUAAUCGGAAUGAGUGAACUAUAAAUCCUUUCACGAGGAUCAAUUGGAGGGCAAGUCUGGUGCCAGCAGCCGCGGUAACUCCAGCUCCAAUAGCGUAUAUUAAAGUUGCUGCAGUUAAAAAGCUCGUAGUUGGAUCUCGGUAGCACUGUUGGCCGCCAGUCCUCUGGCGGGUGGCUAUGCGCGCACGCGCGCGCACGGGUGCGCACUCUGCGGCCUGUGCUGCUGCUGCUGCUGUUGUUGUCAUGGCUGCUGUGUCGGAGUUGGCGGUGCGACGGUGUCGCCUGUCAGCCAUGUCUGUGGUGAAAUAUCCUCAGGUGUGGGCGAGUGUCGGAUGGUGCCCAGCAUUAUAAGUUGGGUUCGUCGGCUCGUCCGCAUGCCUCUGGAUGCCCUUAAAAAGGUGUCUGUGGGCGGAUGGCACGUUUACUUUGAACAAAUUUGAGUGCUCAAACCAGGCCGAUGUUGCCUGAAAAGUUUUGCAUGGAAUAAUGGAAUAGGACUUCGGUUCUAUUUCGUUGGUUUUCGGAUCCGAAGUAAUGAUCAAAAGAGACAGGCGGGGACGUUUGUAUGGCUGCGCUAGAGGUGAAAUUCAUGGACCGUAGCCAGACAAACUAAAGCGAAAGCAUUCGUCAAGCAUGUUUUCAUUGGCCAUGAGCGAAAGUCAGAGGCUCGAAGACGAUCAGAUACCGUCCUAGUUCUGACCAUAAACGAUGCCAACUGACGAUCCGUGGUGGUAGUUCAUCAACCUUCCCCACGGGCAGUCUCCGGGAAACCUUUAAGUCUUUGGGUUCCGGGGGAAGUAUGGUUGCAAAGCUGAAACUUAAAGGAAUUGACGGAAGGGCACCACCAGGAGUGGAGCCUGCGGCUUAAUUUGACUCAACACGGGAAAACUCACCCGGCCCGGACACUAUGAGGAUUGACAGAUUGAUAGCUCUUUCUUGAUUUGGUGGUUGGUGGUGCAUGGCCGUUCUUAGUUGGUGGAGCGAUUUGUCUGGUUAAUUCCGAUAACGAACGAGACUCCUGCCUGCUAAUUAGUGCACCUGUCAACUGUACUUGUGUAGGCGGUGCUCGGCGAGGCUACCCUCGUGAGCUGCCCGGGGAUGUGCGGUGGCAGGCGCGGAGGGAGAGCCCUGGUGCGUUGCUUCCUGGCCCCGGCCUCCCACACACUUGUGGGUGGGGCUGCGGUGGGGAUGGGCGCGCGUGGGGGCUUUUCCUGUGUCGUCGUCAAACUGUCUCUCGGGGCAGUGGGGGUGGCUGGUUCGGCGCUAGCUUCCGGGUGCGGCGCGGGUGUUUACUUCUUAGAGGACAAGCGGGAGAAGCCGCACGAAAUGGAGCAAUAACAGGUCUGUGAUGCCCUUAGAUGUCCGGGGCCGCACGCGCGCUACAAUGACGGUGGCAGCGAGUCUGAUCUUCUGGCCCGAAAGGGUUGGGCAAACUGGUCAAUCACCGUCAUGACAGGGAUCGGGGCUUGGAAUUGUUCCCCGUGAACGAGGAAUUCCUAGUAAGUGCAAGUCAUAAGCUUGCGCUGAUUACGUCCCUGCCCUUUGUACACACCGCCCGUCGCUACUACCGAUUGAAUGGUUUAGUGAGGUCCUUGGAUUGGCGCCAUUGUGGCGGUUGCCGAGAGGUGGCUGCCCGACAGGCGCUGAGAAGACGACCAAACUUGAUCAUUUAGAGGAAGUAAAAGUCGUAACAAGGUUUCCGUAGGUGAA
rnacentral:rRNA from 1 species